AGAGUUUGAUCCUGGCUCAGGAUAAACGCUGGCGGCGUGCCUAAUACAUGCAAGUCGGACGAGGGGUUCUUGUAGCAAUACGAGGACUUCCUAGUGGCGAAUGGUGAGUAACGCGUUGGUGACCUGCCCCAAAGAGAGGAAUAACUCCGGGAAACUGGAGCUAAUACCUCAUGUGGUUGCGAGAUUUAGAACCUCGCAACUAAAGGAGUAAUCCACUUUGGGAGGGGCCUGCGUCCCAUCAGCUAGUUGGUAGGGUAAUGGCCUACCAAGGCUUCGACGGGUAGGGGGCCUGAGAGGGUGGCCCCCCACACUGGCACUGAAACACGGGCCAGACACCUACGGGUGGCAGCAGUAGGGAAUAUUGCACAAUGGGCGAAAGCCUGAUGCAGCAACGCCGCGUGCGCGAUGAAGACCUUCGGGUUGUAAAGCGCUUUUCUGAAGGAAGAGGAAGGACUGUACUUCAGGAAUAAGGAUUGGCUAACUACGUGCCAGCAGCCGCGGUAAUACGUAGGAUCCGAGCGUUAUCCGAAUUUACUGGGCGUAAAGCGCGUGCAGGCGGUCUGAUAAGUUGGAUGUGAAAGCUCCCGGCUCAACUGGGAGAGGCCGUUCAAAACUAUCAGACUAGAGGGCGGUAGAGGGAGGUGGAAUUCCCGGUGUAGUAGUGAAAUGCGUAGAUAUCGGGAGGAACACCAGUGGCGAAAGCGGCCUCCUGGACCGUUCCUGACGCUCAGACGCGAAAGCUAGGGGAGCAAACGGGAUUAGAAACCCCGGUAGUCCUAGCAGUAAACGAUGCGAACUUGGUGUCGGUGGGGUAAAAUCCGCCGGUGCCGGAGCUAACGCGUUAAGUUCGCCGCCUGGGGACUACGGCCGCAAGGUUAAAACUCAAAGGAAUUGACGGGGCCCCGCACAAGCAGCGGAGCGUGUGGUUUAAUUCGUUCUACGCGAAGAACCUUACCCAGGUUUGACAUAUAGGUAGUAGGGAUUCGAAAGAUGACCGACCCUUCGGGGAGCCUAUACAGGUGCUGCAUGGCUGUCGUCAGCUCGUGCCGUGAGGUGUCCGGUUAAGUCCGGUAACGAGCGCAACCCCCGCUGUGUGUUACAAGUGUCACACGGAACUGCCGGUAUCAAGCCGGAGGAAGGUGGGGAUGACGUCAAGUCAGCAUGGCCUUUAUAUCUGGGGCUACACACACGCUACAAUGGUCGGUACAAUGGGUCGCAAAGCCGCGAGGUGGAGCCAAUCCUCAAAACCGGCCUCAGUUCAGAUUGCAGGCUGC
rnacentral:rRNA from 1 species